GCCCGCUUGGCUCAGUGGUAGAGCGUGACACUAGUAGGAGUACAUCCGAACAAUGUCAAGGUCGUCAGUUCGAUUCUGGCAGUGGGCA
rnacentral:tRNA from 1 species